rnacentral:rRNA from 1 species
GUACCAUAACCGACACAGGUGGGUAAGUAGAGUAUACUAAGGGGCGCGAGAUAACUCUCUCUAAGGAACUCGGCAAAAUAACUCCGUAACCUCGGGAGAAGGAGUGCCUUAUUCUUAAGGUUGCAAUAACAAGAUCCAAGCAACUGUUUAUCAAAAACACAGGUCUCCGCUAAGUCGUAAGACGAUGUAUGGGGGCUGACGCCUGCCCAGUGCCAGAAGGUUAAAGAAGUCGGUUAGCAAUAGCAAAGCUGGUAACUGAAGCCCUGGUGAACGGCGGCCGUAACAAUAACGGUCCUAAGGUAGCGAAAUUCCUUGUCGGGUAAGUUCCGACCCGCACGAUAGGCGUAAUGAUUUGGAUGCUGUCUCGGAGAGGGGCUCGGUGAAAUAGACUUGUCUGUGAAGAUGCGGACUACCUGCACCAGGACAGAAAGACCCUAUGAAGCUUUACUGUAACUUGAAAUUGAAAUUGGACUUUAUUCGCGCAGUAUAGGUGGGAGGCGUUGAUUAUAAUCUUGUGGGAUUAUUGGAGCCAUCAGUGAGAUACCACUCUUGUAAUGUUAGAUUUCUAACUUUGAAUCAUUAUCUGGUCAAAGGACAGUUUCAGGCGGGCAGUUUGACUGGGGCGGUCGCCUCCUAAACGGUAACGGAGGCGUACAAAGGUUUCCUCUGAACGGUUAGAAAUCGUAUCUAGAGUGUAAAGGCAUAAGGAAGCUUGACUGUGAGACCUACAAGUCGAGCAGGGACGAAAGUCGGUCUUAGUGAUCUGACGGUACUGAGUGGAAAGGCCGUCACUCAACGGAUAAAAGUUACUCUAAGGAUAACAGGCUGAUCUCCCCCAAGAGUUCACAUCGACGGGGAGGUUUGGCACCUCGAUGUCGGCUCAUCGCAUCCUGGGGCGGUAGUACGUCCCAAGGGUUGGGCUGUUCGCCCAUGAAAGCGGUACGCGAGCUGGGUUCAGAACGUCGUGAGACAGUUCGGUCCAUAUCCGGUGUAGGCGCUGGAAUAUUGAGAGGAGCCUUCUUUAGUACGAGAGGACCGAGAAGGACAUACCUCUGGUGUACCAGUUAUCGUGCCAACGGUAAACGCUGGGUAGCUAUGUAUGGAGUGGAUAACCGCUGAAAGCAUCUAAGUGGGAAGCCCACCUCAAGAUAAGUAUUCUCAUCACGUAAGUGAGUAAGGUCACGGUAAGACUAACCGUUUGAUAGGCAUUAAGUGUAAGUACAGUAAUGUAUGUGCUGAGAUGUCCUAAUAGACCGAGGACUUGA